rnacentral:misc_RNA from 1 species
AAAGUCGUAACAAGGUUUCCGUAGGUGAACCUGCGGAAGGAUCAUUACUGAGUUCAUGCCCUAACGGGUAGAUCUCCACCCUUGAAUACAAACCAUUGUUGCUUUGGCGGGCCGCUUAGGCUACCGGCUUCGGCUGGUGAGUGCCCGCCAGAGGAUCUAAUAACCUGAAUUAUACGUGUCGUCUGAGUAUUAUACAAUAGUUAAAACUUUCAACAACGGAUCUCUUGGUUCUG